GUGUCAGCAGCCGCGGUAAUACGAGGGGAGCUAGCGUUAUUCGGAAUUACUGGGCGUAAAGCGCACGUAGGCGGCUUUGUAAGUUAGAGGUGAAAGCCCGGGGCUCAACUCCGGAAUUGCCUUUAAGACUGCAUCGCUUGAAUCCAGGAGAGGUGAGUGGAAUGCCGAGUGUAGAGGUGAAAUUCGUAGAUAUUCGGAAGAACACCAGUGGCGAAGGCGGCUCACUGGACUGGUAUUGACGCUGAGGUACGAAAGCAUGGGGAGCAAACAGGAUUAGAUACCCCCGUAGUCC
rnacentral:rRNA from 1 species